rnacentral:rRNA from 1 species
UACGAAGGGGGCUAGCGUUGCUCGGAAUUACUGGGCGUAAAGCGCACGUAGGCGGCUUCUUAAGUCGGUGGUGAAAUCCUGGAGCUCAACUCCAGAACUGCCUUCGAUACUGGGAAGCUCGAGUCCGGGAGAGGUGAGUGGAACUGCGAGUGUAGAGGUGAAAUUCGUAGAUAUUCGCAGGAACACCAGUGGCGAAGGCGACUCGCUGGUCUUUUGCUGACGCUGAGACGCGAAAGCGUGGGGAGCAAACAGG